rnacentral:rRNA from 1 species
UACGAGGGGUGCAAGCGUUGCUCGGAAUUAUUGGGCGUAAAGGGUAGGUAGGUGGUCUCGUUUGUCUGGGGUGAAAGCCUUGAGCUUAACUCAAGAAGUGCCCUAGAAACGGCGAGACUAGAGUCUUGGAGAGGGUCGUGGAAUUCCCGGUGUAGCGGUGAAAUGCGUAGAGAUCGGGAGGAACACCAGAGGCGAAGGCGGCUCACUGGACCGGAACUGACGCUGAGGCGCGAAAGCGUGGGGAGCAAACGGG